GUCAAUGGCCAUGCCACCCUGAACAAGCCUGAUCCAGUCUGAUCUCAGAAGCUAAGCAGGGUCGGGGCCUGGUUAGUACUUAGAUGGGAGACCACCUAGGAAGACCAGGUUCUGUAUAGG
rnacentral:rRNA from 1 species